AACGAACGCUGGCGGCAGGCUUAACACAUGCAAGUCGAACGCCUGUAGCAAUACAGGAGUGGCAGACGGGUGAGUAACACGUGGGAACCUUCCUCGUAGUACGGAACAACUCAGGGAAACUUGAGCCAAUACCGUAUACGUCCGAGAGGAGAAAGAUUUAUCGCUAUGAGACGGGCCCGCGUCCGAUUAGGUAGUUGGUGGGGUAACGGCCUACCAAGCCGACGAUCGGUAGCUGAUCUGAGAGGAUGAUCAGCCACACUGGAACUGAGACACGGCCCAGACUCCUACGGGAGGCAGCAGUGGGGAAUCUUGGACAAUGGGCGCAAGCCUGAUCCAGCCAUGCCGCGUGAGUGAAGAAGGCCUUAGGGUUGUAAAGCUCUUUUGCCAGGGACGAUAAUGACGGUACCUGGAGAAUAAGCCCCGGCAAACUUCGUGCCAGCCGCCGCAGUAACAC
rnacentral:rRNA from 1 species